rnacentral:misc_RNA from 1 species
UGUUUUCAUCCCGAACUUCCUAUCAUUGUUACAGGUUCUGAGGAUGGGACAGUUCGUAUAUGGCAUUCAACAACUUACAGGCUUGAAAACACAUUGAAUUAUGGCCUUGAAAGAGUUUGGGCCGUGGGACACAUGAAAGGCUCCCGCCGUAUUGUGAUUGGUUAUGACGAAGGAACCAUUAUGGUCAAAAUUGGUCGAGAAGAACCUGUCGCUAGUAUGGAUAACAGUGGGAAGAUUAU